rnacentral:rRNA from 1 species
GAUGAACGCUGGCGGCGUGCCUAAUACAUGCAAGUCGAGCGAAAAGACGAGGAGCUUACUCCUCUGACGUUAGCGGCGGACGGGUGAGUAACACGUGGAUAACCUACCUAUAAGACUGGGAAAACUUCGGGAAACCGGAGCUAAUACCGGAUAAGAUGUUGAACCGCAUGGUUCAACAGUGAAAGACGGUCUUGGUGUCACUUAUAGAUGGAUCCGCGUCGCAUUAGCUAGUUGGUAAGGUAACGGCUUACGAAGGCAACGAGGCGUAGCCCACCUCAGAGCGUGAUCGGCCACACUGGAGCUGAGCCGCCGUCCAGACUCCUACGGGAGGCAGCAGUAGGGAAUCUUCCGCAAUGGGCGAAAGCCUUGCACAGCGACCCCGCGUCUGUGACGACGGUCUUCCGAUCGUAAUACUCUGUUUUUGGGGAAGAACAACUGUCUACUUAACUAUGCCCUUCUUGACGGUACCUAAUCAGAAAGCCCCGGCUAACUACGUG